rnacentral:rRNA from 1 species
CCUACGUGCGGCAGCAGUGAGGAAUAUUUGUCAAUGGCCGGAAGGCUGAACCAGCCAAGCCGCGUGAAGGACGAAGGUGCCAAGCAUUGUAAACUUCUUUUGUCAAGGGACAAAAUCAGGCUCGAGAGCCUGACCGAGGGUACUUGAAGAAAAAGCAUCGGCAAACUCCGUGCCAGCAGACGUGGUAAUACGGAGGAUGCGUGCGUUAUCCGGAUGUAUUGGGUUUAAGGGGUGCGUAGGCGGUCUGUUAAGCCAGCGGUAAAAGCCCGGGGCUCAACCCCGGCGAGCCGUUGAAACUGGCUGUCUUGAGAUGUCGAGAGGUAUGCGGAAUGCGCAGUGUAGCGGUGAAAUGCUUAGAUAUUGCGCAGAACUCCGAUUGCGAAGGCAGCAUACCGGCGGCGAUCUGACGCUGAGGCACGAAAGCGUGGGUAUCGAACAGGAUUAGAUACCCCUGUAGUC